UACGUAGGUGGCAAGCGUUAUCCGGAAUUAUUGGGCGUAAAGCGCGCGCAGGUGGUUCCUUAAGUCUGAUGUGAAAGCCCCCGGCUCAACCGGGGAGGGUCAUUGGAAACUGGGGAACUUGAGUGUAGAAGAGGAAAGUGGAAUUCCACGUGUAGCGGUGAAAUGCGUAGAGAUGUGGAGGAACACCAGUGGCGAAGGCGACUUUCUGGUCUAUAACUGACACUGAGGCGCGAAAGCUAGGGGAGCAAACAGG
rnacentral:rRNA from 1 species